rnacentral:lncRNA from 1 species
GUCAGGCCGGUCUCGAACUCCCGAACUCAGGUGAUCCGCCUGCCUUGGCCUCCCAAAGUGCUGGGAUUACAGGCGUGAGCCACUGCGCCUGGCCCUUCUUUUGUGUGUGUGAAGGAGUCUUGCUCUGUCACGCACACUUAAGUACGAUGGCGCGGUCUCAGCUCACUGCAACCUCCGCCUCCUGGGUUCAACCAAUUCUCGUGCCUCAGCCUCCCAAGUAGCUGGGAUUACAGGUGCCUGCCACCACACCUGGCUAAUUUUUGUAUUUUUAGUAGAGACGGGGUUCACGGUGUUGGCCAGGAUGGUCUAGAACUCCUGACCACAAGAUCCUCCCGCCUAGGUCUCUCAAAAUGCUGGGAUUACAGGCGUGAGCCACCGCGCCCGACCAGGAAUGGGUUUUUAACCCCAACGUAGUUUUUGUUUUUGUGUCCUUCCCCUAUUGGCUGGGGUCAGACCGCACAAUCUAAGCUGAUCCCGGUUGGCUUAGACCCAAACUUUUUCCAAAUAGGAUAAACGAGCGAUUUGCGAGAAAAGGAAAAGGGAGAAAAAGGGGUAGGGUUGUUUUACAACUUUUACAACUUCUGAUCAGGAAGUUGAGUCUUUGAAGAGGAAUUUAGUUGUCCUAGCAACCCUUUACCUCAAGUGAUCCGCCAGCCUUCGCCUCCCAAAAUGCUGGGAUUACAGACGUCAACCACCGCGCCCGGCCCCAUAAAUUUUUAACAAAAGAAAAGAGAAACUGUGAACCCCACGGACCAAAGCUCUUCCGAAUCGUGAACCCGCACCCCGAGUCAAGAUUCUCCCCUGAUGACCUUCUCGUGGUUCCCGCACCAUCUGGGAGAGACCCGAAGCUGCGGGUGGAGAGCUGCUGCACAGAGAGGGCGCCAGGCCAGGGCACGGUCACUGCGCAGGGAAGAGACAGGACGCCCCGGGACCGGCUGUCAGCGCAGCCACCAUCUUAUGGCUGAAGGGGACUGAGGCCGAGCUGGGUCCAUCUUCUGUAGCGCUGCUGCAGUUUGCUAGGGGCUAACUUCAGGACCUAUUCAUCUGGUUCACCGCCGUGCCUGGAGAUGUCACUCAAGGAAGUUGGAGAACAGCAAAGAAGAGUGCCCGCUCCUUCCUCUGGGAUCUCUGACCUCAAGAGGCACAAACCUGAUGCCAGUAGAAUUGCUCCUCUAUAGGGUGUCUGACAAUCCCUGUUGAAGGGUCUCAUCCAGUUGGGUGGCACAGGAAGCAGAACUCAUUUAAUGAAGCACUUUGACUGUCCUUUGGUGGAGGGGGGUGUUUCACUGGGGGAAAAUCCACUCAUCUGGGCUGCUCAAAUUCUUCAAAACUAGCAGGAGGAAAGGCUAAGUCUGCUGGUCCACAGAGACUGCAGCCACCCCUCCCCCUAGGGUUCUGCUCUGAUCUUUGUUAUUUCUUUUUUUCUACUGGGUUUGGGUUUGGCUUGUUCUUGUUUCUCUAGUUCCUUGAGGUGUUAUCUUAGAUUGUCUACUUAUGAGCUUUCAGACUUUUUAGUAGGCACUUGAUGCUAUGAACUUUCCUUUUAGCACGACUUUUGCUGUAUCCCAGACAUUUUAAUAGAUUGUCAUUAUUAUCGUUCAGCUCAAAGAAUUUUUAAAUUUCCAUCUUGAUUUCAUACAACAAUCAUUCAGAAACAAGUUGAUCCUAAAUUUUAUUUUUAUUUAAUUUCCAUGUAUUUAUUUAAUUUCCAUGGAUUUGCAUGGUUUUGAGGGUUCACUUGGAGUUUUCACUUUUAUUCCACUGUAGUCUGACAGAGUAGUUGAUAUAAUUUUGAUUGUCUUAAAUUUAUCGAGACUUGUUUUGUGGCCCAUCAUAUGUCUGUCUUAGGGAAUGAUUCAUAUGCUGAUGAAUGAAAUGUAUAUUCUGCAGUUGUUGUGUGGAAUGUUCUGUAAAUAUUUGUCAAGUCCAUUUGUUCUACGGUAUAGUUUAAGUCCAUUGUUUUUGUUGUUGUUGUUGUUGUUGACUUUCUGUCAUGAUGACUUGUCUAGUGCUGUCAGUAGAGUAUUGAAGUUCCCCAUUAUUAUUGUGUUGCCAUUUAUCUCAUUUCUUAGGUCUAGUAGUAAUUGUUUAAUAAACUGGGAGCUCCAGUGUUAGGUGCAUAUAUAUUUAGAAUUGUGAUAUUUUCCUGUUGGACUAGUCCUUUUAUCAUUAUAUAAUGUCCCUCUUUGUCUUUUUUUAUUUUUAACUGUUUUUGCUUUAAUGUCUGUUUUGUCUGAUGUAAGAAUGGCUACUACUGCUUGCUUUUGGGGUACAUUUGCAUGACUAUCUUUUCCCAACCCUUUACCUUAACUUUAUGUGAGUUUUUAUGUGUUGGGUGAGUCUCUUAAAGACCGCAGAUAUUUGGUUGGUAAACUCUUCUCCAUUCUACCAUUCUGUAUCUUUUAAGUGGAAUAUUUAGGCCACUAAUCACUAUCAAUUAUACCACCACACAUUAUAAUGCCAGUCAUUGCAAGGCUUGAACAGGAAAUCAAUUCAUCCGCAUUCAAGUUUGCAGUUAUAAUAAAAAUUUUGGCCUGUUGAUCUUCCUGGUGAUUAAAUAGUCUGUCAAGAGAAAGCAGAGAUGGAUGAGCAUCAACAUGGAAAACAGCAACAAUGGUAGUGUGCACCAGGAUUCAGAUAUCUUCUCAGUAUUUUUUUCCCCAAACCUCUUUAUUCCCAAUUAACCAUUUGUUUUGUCACUAUUGGAGCAUCCAGGUAGUAAGACCAUUUGCUACUGACCAAGAGUUGGUAUACAAGUGACAAAUCCCUCUGGCUUCCUCCUGAAUAUCUUGGAGGUUGGCUACUAGUUCAGCUAACUGGCUGCUCCCACCCCUUCCUUCAUCAGAAAUGCUUACGUUUUUAACAGGAUUAUAAGCCAUGCCCUUCCAGCAUUGGGUCCCACCAAUAUGUUUGCUGGAUCGAUCAGUAAACCAAGCAUGUUUCUGAUCCUCUGGGCUUAGUUCUUUAAAGGAACUGCACCAUUGAGUGGGGGGAGGGGCGGUU